CUUUCUUAAAAAGAGACAGACCAGACUCACAGCACUUGAAGUUUUCUGGAACCAUAACUUCUGUGGAUUCACAGAACCUUAAUGUUUUGUACCUUAAAACAGCAUUGGCCCUUGCAGGCAAAAAGAGCCUUUAUGUUUACUGUUUUGCUUGUGGAUAGUUCCAGAUAAAUUACUUAAAAUUCUCAGGUAUCUGGAUAGCAUGGAGUAUUGGGAAAGGAGAAGAGAUCCUUCUGUGCCAGAGGCAGCAGGUUCCAGGCCAGCUCCACGACUGUGCUGUCCCCAGGGAAGGAAGAGUCCUCCCACUGCACUGGCUGCUGGUGACCUGGCAGGGGACAUGGAGCUGCUGGCUGGCACAGCACCUGAGGAAGCAGGGAAGGAUGCAACAGCAUCACAAGCUGAGGUGGAAGGAGCAGAAAAAGCAGCUGCAAUGCCAGAGGCAGAAAGCCUAGUGGGAGCAGGUCUGGGCAGGAAGGGGGUCACCCCUGAAGGAGCAACGAUUGUGGUGGGAGCAUCGGAAAACCCAGCAGCAGAAAGGGCUGCUGAAGCAUUUUCCAGGGCAGCAGAAAGAAUUGCAGUAUCAGAAGUAGCCAAGGUGUUGCAGUCAGCAGUAGCUGAGCUCAAAGGGAAGAGGAAGAACAUGUGGAUAAAGCCAAGGAAUACCACUCAGCAGGAAGAGGAUUGGAUGAAAGAGGGAGAGGUGAAAUGAAAUGGAGAGCAUGGAAUGGGAAAGGUGACUCCAGCCAGAUUGAUAAUGGUGCGAUGCCAGGAAGUCCAGAAGAAAUUCAAGAAAUGGGAAAAAAUAACUUCAAAACAGUGGUGGACUUGUCAGCAUGAAUGACAUUCCCCAGGCAGUACAGAUGGAUCAUUAAAACAGAUUUCUAAUUUUUGAAAGGAAAAAAUAUUGUUUGUUGUAAGAUUGUUUUCUCAGCCUGUGAGGUACAGGUAAGACAGGUUUGUAGCAACAGCUGGAUGAUGGAGCAGUCACCAUAACAGAUAAAUGGUGAUAAAGUGUUACAGAG
ensembl:lncRNA